AGAAGUGCUCAGAUUAGAGAUCUACCCUGAAGGUUGGCUCAUCAGGGCUUACUGAUGAACACGUGAGGUAGAAAAGACAGAUGAUUCUAAGAUUUCUGAAAAGAGAUUAACCAGAACCAGAAUGACUUAAGAAAUGUUUUGUGAAAGAAGGAGUUCAGGGAUCUAGGUGGAUACUUUCAGGCUAGAGGACAGAUGUGUACAGACAAGAAAGAAAUCUGGGAGCAGAGGGGAGAGAGAGCUGGACAGGGGGUGCUCUGGACAGUCCCAGGGGAUACAGUUGAGGGUAGCAGUCAUGGCGGAGAGAAUAAGCACCUAUCAGAGUUCUGGAAGAAUACAGAAAGCAUAACACAUUGGGACAAGGGAGGAGCAGUGAAAGUGAAGUCGCUUAGUCGUGUCCGACUUUUUGCGACCCCAUGGACUGUAGCCUACCAGGCUUCUCGGUCCGUGGGAUUUUCCAGGCAAGAAUACUGGAGUGGGUUGCCAUUCAGUGAUGUUAUUAACCAGUCAAUCCUAAAGGAAAUCAAGCCUGAACAUUAAUUGGAAGGACUGAUGCUGCAGCUAAAGCUCCAACACUUUGGCCACCUGAUGCGAAGAACUGACUCAUUGGAAAAGACCCUGAUGUUGGGAAAGAUUGAAGGUCCAGUGUCCUCCACUCUCUUUACAUCCCUUAGAACUAUGCUGACACGGUGCCUGCAGUACUGGUUCCUGCUAGUUGAAAUGAAGGGCUUCCCAGGUGGCUCAGUGCUAAAGAAUCUGCCUGCCAGUGCUGGAGACAACAGUUCAAUCCCUGGGUCAGAAAGAUCCCCUGGAGAAAGAAAUGCCAACCCACUCCAGUAUUCUUGCCUGGGAAAUCCCAUGGACAGAGGAGCCUGGCGGGCUACAGUCCAUGGGAUCGCAAAAUAGUCGGACACAACAGAGUGACUAAAACAAGCUGAAACUAAAUUCAUUUAACUAUUUGCAUUAACACAUUGAAAUUAGAACUAGAAUGUAAAUAAUUUUCUUUGUAUAAUCUCCACUGCUCACAGACUGACCUCUGUUUUACUCUUUUAAAAGUGACUGCAACCUACUCUGACCCUCAUUUUGGACCACUCUCCUAUGGGAGGUGUUGGAAACAGGCUGCUUUGCUCACCGUAUUCCAGAUGUGCUUUUCACACUUCAUGCCUUUGUGGCUCCUAAGCGGUGACUUGGAAGGCCCCAUCACAUUUUAUUUUUUAAGACAAAUGUGUUCUUUCUUUUUAAAGUUCUUUUAAUCUUUUUGCCAUACCACAUGGCAUCUGGGAUCUUAGUACCCCUCAUCCCCCAACUAGGGAUCAAAUCCACGCCCCCUGCAUUGGUGGCCCAGGGUCUUAACUACUGGAUCACUAGGGAAGCCCCUUUAGGCAAAUUCUUAAACUUUCUAAGCCUCGGUUUCCUCAUCCUUAAAUCCAGAAUAAUAGAGUCUGGCUCAGACUUGUCUGUGGUGAGAUCAGACACACAUUAUUAAUUUUCAAGUUUCAGCUCUUACCUACUAGCUGUGUGCUUUUAUCCAAACUCUCUGGCCCUGGCUUCCUCCUUCAUGCAAUGCGGCCAGGGUAGAAAGCAUCUUCCAGGGGCCUGUGCUUUGUCUAAGGUAGUACUGUCCUACCAGGCUUGCAGCUAUGUGCCCUUGGGCCCUCCUCAGUGUCUCUGGGCCUCGGUUUUCUUGGCUGAGGUCACUGUGAAGUGACAGUACUAGUAGCACCUGAUCUUUGUGGAGAUCAGUGAUGCUUAUUCAGGACUGAAACAUCCAAGGACUAAAAUGUAGUAGUUUCCUUUUAGUGGAGAUGGGUGACAGCAUUACAGCUGAUGUCACCAGCCAUUGAGAUCUUCCAACCCUUGCUUAUCAAGCACUUCUUCAAUAAUUGCUUUCCUUCAACUACUUUGAGAUUCAGAAGUUCUUUCCAUUACCCCCAAAACAAACCUUAGUGUGUACAUUUGGAGUGGUGUGGAUUCAGUUGUGUGAGACAGACAUGAAUCGUGCCUUGUUUGGAGACCAUUUCCAGCAGUCCCUGCUAUGGAGUUGCUGAUGGACAGUACUUCCCCCUUUCCUCCACUUCACUGGCAUAAAUGGGAGUCAAAUCUGGGUCUCUGUCACUUGAGAGCUGGAGGGGAGAAGAUAUUUUGCCUCCUGUCAGCAAUUUUGCGUUUCUACUUCAAAUCUAGGAAUGGUGUUUGUCACAGAUGUCAGAGUGAGUUGUAAAGGAACCAGUAGGGCUUGUGCAAAGGCAAACUCCUGCCAUCUCUUCUGACCUCUUAUUAACGGUUACCAAGUUACCUACUCCAGAACUGCAGUUUUGGACAGUGACCAGUGUUCUGGAUAUAAAUUCUUGUAACAUGUUUUGGGGGCUAUCUUUUAUGAGACUGCUACAAAAUAAAAUACACAACUGCCUGGCCAUCUCUGAAAGGUGAGAUUCUCUCUCCAUGUUUCUGUUAUUUGCUAACUUUGGUUAUCUUGGAGCAUCAGAGCAUACUGUGCUACAGGGAUAUAUGCACUGUAACUUCAAAUAAUCACACUGUCUGAGAAGGAAAUGGCAACCCACUUCAGUAUUCUUGCCUGGAGAAUCCCAUGGAUGGAGGAACUUGGUGGGCUACAGUCCAUGGGUCGCAAAGAGUCGGACACAACCGAGCGAUUUCACUUCACUUUCACUUUCUGAGUAGUUAUCCAUUUUAACAAUUUAGCUACCGCCUGUGUGCCAUAUCUCAGUUGGUGGCACAAUCUUGACCCUACUAAGCC
ensembl:lncRNA